GUGUCAGCAGCCGCGGUAAGACGAACCGUGCGAACGUUAUUCGGAAUCACUGGGCUUAAAGCGUGCGUAGGCGGCUUGGCAAGUUGGGUGUGAAAGCCCUCGGCUCAACCGAGGAAUUGCGCCCAAAACUGCCAGGCUUGAGGGAGACAGAGGUGAGUGGAACUAAUGGUGGAGCGGUGAAAUGCUUUGAUAUCAUUAGGAACACCGGUGGCGAAAGCGGCUCACUGGGUCUCUUCUGACGCUGAGGUACGAAAGCUAGGGGAGCGAACGGGAUUAGAUACCCCGGUAGUCCUAGCUGUAAACGAUGAGCACUAGGUCGAGGAGCCUUUCACAGUUUCUUGGCCGUAGCGAAAGUGUUAAGUGCUCCGCCUGGGGAGUAUGGUCGCAAGGCUGAAACUUAAAUGAAUUGACGGGG
rnacentral:rRNA from 1 species